CUAAUCCCAGGAGAGCCCACGAAUACAACAGAAAACAUCUGGCUGGAUAUUCGAGUGUAGGAGCAAGAGCAAACUGUUUUCUAGCAGCUGCAGUUCUCUGCAGGAAAGGAGCUAAGGAUCCCGGGAAGCUGCCUGACCCACAUUGGAAGGACCACUCCCAUCCUUGGCUAAGUAACACUUGAUGCAGUGUAAGAACUCGGUGAAGAAACGAAUGUAGCAGAUAAAGAGGCCAGGUGCUGGUGAUGCAAAUGAAAUAGAUGACAGAUGCAAGCUGCCGUGUUGUGAGCUACCCUGUGAAAAGACAAGGAACUGAGGCCUCUAGCCAAUAGCCAGGAAGAAACUAAGGUCUGCCCGGAGCCAAUGAGUUAGCUUGGAAGAGGAUCCUACCUGGGUUGAGUUUUGAGAUGACUACACACUUUUGAGAGAUCCUGAGCCAGAGGACCCAGGUUUCAGAAGAUAUCAGAGAAGACAUUUGAGAACAUGAAGUAGUGUGGACUUCCACAAUUAUGCCCUUGUGCGUCCCAGGCUGUGAUGAAAAAUACCUAACAGAAGGAUCUGGAAAUGUAUUUUGAGUUUCUCAGAGUUGCUGGUCGCCUGGAGAGCAAACACAAUGCUUCUACUGCUCUGGAAAAUCUGAAGCUACAAAGAUGAUUUUC
rnacentral:lncRNA from 1 species